rnacentral:lncRNA from 1 species
UCAUCAAGAGAUUGGGUGCGGCAGAGUUCCCUAGGGUUCUCUUGAGACCCGGACCAAUACAAGCACUCAAAACAAAUCACCAUUGAUAAGUGCAAGUGCGGAAUUGCCAACCUUGUGCAUCAAAGUUCAGUGGGUACUCAAGGUACCCAAAGCAAUGCUUACACAAGGGGGCAGAACCUUAUUCUAAGAGUAGUGUGAUUGUGACAGAAUUUGAAGGAUUUGAUGGAAAAGUUUUACAUGAAGGACAGUUUGAGAAAAAUAGUAAAAGAGUGAAAAUUUUAACUGAGUUUGAAAACAGUUACUUUGAGGCCAACUUUUGAAAGUGACAGUCACACAGACAAAGGUAAAGUAAAGGGAACAAAUAGCUAACAAACAAGAUAAUCAGUCACACACAUUAAAGGAGAGCAUGCUUCAAACAGGAGUCCAGUUCUUACAGCACCAGACACCAAACCAAUCAUCCUCAAAAGAGGUUUUGAGGCUAUGGAGCAGCCAAGAGGAUGCUAGUAGUAUGCAGAAGCAAGGGGGAAACAUGCAUUGGGGUAGGCAAGGGGGUAAUGAACAUGCUAGGCUUACUAAUUAGUACAGAUACAUGCUAGUUGCAAUAGGGACAACAUAACCACAAGUAGAAACACACACAAAAGAAAGUGCAGCACCAAUAAGAGCAUAUUCUUUUGAGGCUAUAACUUAAACAUGAUACAGAACCACAAGUAGAAACACACAAGGAACAAAAGAAAGUGAUGCACUAACAGAAACAUAUUGUCUUUUAAGGCUGUAGCUUAAAUAGGAUACAUACCAGUUGAAAAUAAUGUAAACACAGAGCAACAGUGAGCAAUAUUGUGCAGAGAAGUGAGCAGUUGUGUGCAGAGAAAAGCAGAGAGAAGGACAGCAGUAUGCAAGAAGUGAGCAGCAGGCAGAUCCAAAAGCAAGUAGCACAGUAGAAGCCAACAGAGUGAUAAAAGUGACCAGGAUCACUCAAUCUCACCCAAUUGAGUGAUUAGCAUUCAACAGGAAAGUAAAAGAAAUUAUGUAGAAAUAAAUAGCACAAAGAUGUUUGUGUGAAAGAGAGAGAUUUCAGAACACUGAGUGUAUUCGCGUCUGUGUAUGUCAAGUGAUGUACAAUGUGUCGGUGUCUGCAAAAGAGAAUGGGGGAGGGUACUUAUAGUACUGAAUGAGAGUAAACAAACAAGGCAGCAAUCCCUAAUUAAGGAACUGACAUCAAUCAUAAUCAAAUCAUCAUAAGGACUCCUUUUUAAUUAGGAAAUCAAAGUUAAACGGUAAUAAGCAACUGUUUAAAGGAAAGAAAUCACAAGGUAUGAUCAUAUAAGGAACAAAAUAGCAUUAGGUAUGCAAUAGAGACUAGGUACAUGAUAGUCUAAUUACGAAAACAGGUCAGGCAAAUCAAUCAACAUACUCAUGCACACAUAUAGGGUGGGAUACUGCUCCAAUCCUAGGCAAUAAUCCCCAAAAAUAAGGAACGUGAUUGAAAACUUAAGAGACCAAUAUUAAUUGAGGAAAGUAUCCCACAGAUUGAGAAGAAUUUUGAAAUUAAUCCCAAACUAUAAGGACAAUACGCAGAAUCAAAUUUUAAGGAAAGUAUCACAAUUUCGAAAAGAGGGUUGUAAGAAUCAAUAUAAAAUUGUCAUGCAAACAGUCAGAGAAACUUUAAACGGAGCACACAUAAUGGUAGGAGAAUGAAACACUAGUAACAGAAAUUAAAGCAAAGAACACAAAACUUAGAGAAGAACCCAUAAGAACAUACAAACAAGAAAAUAAUGCAAACAUAAACGUACAAGGCUAGGGUUUCAUCAGACUUUAGCAAAAUGUUUAGAAGAAUCACGAAUAGUACUAAAAAAUCAAAAAAUAAAAUGAUUUCAAAAAGGGGUUAGAAACCCUAGUUUCAAAAGGGAGCAAAAUCGUUUAAAACUGGAGUAAUCGUAAAGAUCGAGUAAAAAAAUAGUGCAAAACAUAAAGGUACGAGUUAAAAUCGUUAAAACAAAUCAGAGAUUUGAGAGGUUUGGGUCAAGAUUAGGGUUUCA